GUGCUAGCUCCUGCUGUACAUACACCAAAAUUGGAGCAGUACAGAAAAGAUUAGCAUGGCGCCUGGGCAAGGAUGAUACGGAAAUUUGUGAAGCUUUCCUUUUUUUU